GAAGCCAGAAAAGUGAAGUCAGAUGCCAGGAAACUAAAUCCACUUCUUGAACUAAAGAUAGAAGGUGAAAACAGCAUUAAACUCUAAUUUGCCCUGAAUCUUGUAGUGGGGUGGAACACUUAGAGUACCCCACUGAACAGUAUCUACUUAGCUUUAUUUAUUUUUUUAAAGUAUACAGACUUUCCUUCUAACCAAGGCAGUGUGUUCUAUCUGAAUCUCACUAGACAUUAGUAAGUGAUUUAAAAAAAAAAAAAAAAAAAAGAUUGAGAAAAGAGGAAAUUCCCUAUGGAAUCAUCUAUAAAUGUGUGCCCUUUGAUAACAUGAGCUCUGGAGCAGGGCAUCAGUAGCAAUCAAGACAUUUUUAAUAUUUUAAGAGGAUCUGAUGCUCACAAGAGGGUUUUCACUGACAGCCCUACACACUGAAGUCUAUUCAGCCACAGGAAGCCACACUGUAACCUUCCCCAAGUAGCCCUGCCACCGCCAUGACCAAGAGAGACCACUGUCAAAGACAAGAAAGUAGUUCCCUCUUCACGACUAUUUAAUAUGAACAUCUCUGCUGAGGCUGCCAUCAAGGAUACUGGUCAUGACCACUUUUGAUAGAGACAUGGACAUCUCUCCACUAGGAACUAGGCAGACCAACCCACUCAGAUAGGUUUUCACACAAGCACAUGAUGGUAAAUGCUUUUGGGCCUAGUUUCAGAGACGUGGAAGUCAAUGGGCUCUGCAGGUGCAGAGUUACAAGUCAGGGGGGGAGGGACAGCACACGACACAUCAGAUCCUUUAUCUUAAAUGAGUUCUGGGGGAACGAACUGGAAAAAAAAAAUCACUGCAAUCUUCCCCCUAAAAACAAACAACAAAAAACAAAACCCUCACAACAUGUAGGGACCCUUGAAGCCUGCACCUGCUUUCACAGAAGUCAGUAGGAGUUUUGUCAUUAGUCACUAGAGCUCAUACCUCCCUGAUUCUACAAGCUAUGCAAUUACUGACACCAGAAAAAUAACCUUCUUGUGUAGGGCUUAUACGUGAAUAGAAUGCCAGCUCAUUAUCUGAAGGGGAAAAAAGGAUUUUUGUUACUGAGUCCAUGACACUAUUUUCAAACUUUUUUAACUAUGUUCACAAUCUAAUUUAAUCCUUAAUUCAAUCUUUUCACUUCAUCCCUAUUUUUUUUUUACCAUGAGUUACUCUGAUGAAAAAAAUCCUAGCACUAAAAUUCUCAGCAUCGUUUUGUAUCAAACAUGCUCUGUAGCACCAACUUUACAAAGACAGUGUUUGUUGACUCGAGUCCCCCUCCAAAAAAAAUGUUUCUAAAAAUGGUCAAACUGUUAAUCUGUCAACAACUGGAUUCCUAUUUUCACUGGCUUGGCCAAGUCAUAUUUCUGCCGUGAAGUCAUCUUUUAUCCCUCUUUCAACACUGAUGAAGCAAAUACUGUCUGGAUUUAACACUGUAAGCAAUUAAGACAUUUUAGUAAUAUUGUAAGUCAAACUUUUCUCUCUCAAUUCUGUUUACACAGAGAACACAAGAAAAUUUUUUUUUGCUAUAAUGGCAGCAAGAGCAAACAAUUAAAGCACCAACCACUUUCUGACCUUCACCUUAUAUCAAGAAGCGACUGAACAAAACUUUUCUUAAUGUUUCUGACUGGUCAUUUUCCAGUACUGCAUAGACACAGCCUUAAAGUUUGACUCCUCUAGUGACAAACUGUCUCCAGUGAAUUUUAGAACAAUAGUUGCAUUUUCAUAUAAGGCUUACGUGGCAUAAGAAACUAGAGCACAUUAAUAUUUCUAUUCAUCCUGCGGUUUUUGGGGUGACAACAUUUGUAUGGCCCACAAAUAUAACAAAUCGAAGCAACAUUCACCUGUCCUAGUUUACCACUUGAAAUGUAAUUUAAUAUUUGGGUUGGUGAAAGGUGGCUGCUAAUCAAACUACGGAUGUUUUGAAAGCGUAGUCAUGACUAACACAAAAGCAGCAUGUAUGUUUACUUACAGGAGAGUUUAUUAAACACAUUUGGUUUCUAAUGAAUCCUUGCACAAUACUGCUGGUAUGCUUACGGGUCUGGUUAGAUCAAUAGAGAGCCUAGUGUGUUCACAGGAGAAGUUCAGCAUUGAACAGUUCAGAACCCUAAAAAACCUUGAAGGGAAUAGCACAGAACCUCAACUUGUUCUUUUGACUGAUCAAACCACAAGAGAAAGAUCAGAUAUCAUCGUAUAUGUCAGAAAAUCAACUAAGAGCAUAGAGUUACACUGAGACAAGAAUCUCCAAUGGAAGUUAACCUGUUAUAAGUGACCCCUUCAACCAUCACAAGGUGACGUAUAUACUACUGCAGGAUGUUUUCAUCCUCCUCCAUAGCACCUGGUACUGGCCACUAUCAGAGACAAGCCACUGGACUAGAUGGACCAUAAGUCUGAUCCUGUAGGGCAAUUCUUGUAUUUCUUAUAACCAGUCCACAGAGUGCCAUAUCCACCUCUCAUCAGAUGGGAUGUCAUCUUAAAGAGAGACUUUGAGGACACAAAGAAUCCUUUCUAAAGCCAAAGAGGAGAUGGAAAA